rnacentral:lncRNA from 1 species
CCUCCUCCUUCUCCUCCUUCUCCUCCUUCUCCCCCUGGCCAACUUUUGCAAUUGGAAAUAGCUGGAAGCCCCUGCCAGACACAGGGAAGAAAAGACACAGUCAGUCUGCCUGAGGUCUGUGCAGACACACCCUUGCCUGCAAUUUGGCUAUUGGGGGAGGCCUCAGCCACAGGCUGCUGGAGGAGAGAAAAGCAGAUUCCAGCGGCUAGCUGAACUUGUCUAGCCUGGAGUCCUCUAGGAAUGGGAAGAAACAGCCAACGGAGACUGUCCCAGAAAGCUCGGGAGUUCUGUUGCUAUCCAAACGACUCCUUCAUUCUUUGAAGGUGAAGCUUCCACAUCAAGCAGACUGGUAUCCUCGGGAAGACUGGAAUUCCAAGCCAUCGGCAAGUGUCCGAUCAGUUGCCAGCUUUGGUUGGACCUUGGGUCUCCCAUCAGCUCACUUUCUGGCUUGCCAAACAGAUGUAAAGAUCCUCCAAGGCUCCAUCUUCAAUCUGACCCUGUUCUCUGUUACCACCCCAUGGGAGAGAAUAGAAAGGAUGGUCAAAGGGAAGCUGAGGGACUAUUGUUCUAAAAUCAUCAACAAGAGUAGACCACAAGACUGAAAGACAGACUGGGGAUGAGCCACGGUGGGGAUAAGUAAUGGAAGCUCCUUCCAUCCAGAUUUCAGCCCUAAGGUAUGAUGAAAUAGACAUGUGCUGGGAGAUGGCCAGGCAUUGCGUCCUGGGUCCUUCAUGCCCAGGUCUGAUGAGGUCUUUGUGCAGACAUUGAGGGUACUGACUGACACGUCUCCUGAAUAGGGCAUUGCCGUGGGCAUGCCACAGAGCCUUUUAUACCACAUCGUUGAUGAUUGAGUUCAUAUCUGUCAACUACAUCCUUGGGGGCAUCGUCCCUGGAGAGAGCUCUGGCCAUCUGUGCCUUGGAGGGAGCUAUGGGACCCAGAGGAUGACAGAAGAAGGAGACAUGGUGGAGCGGUGAGUUCCUUGCCCAAACUGGGAUCUUGGGACUACAGGACAAUGAGCUGGUAGGUGGAGAACGUUGGUGGGAGAACAACAGGGAUGCUUUGGGAUCAAGUCAUCUGGACCAAGCGGGAGUCAGAGCUGAG